AGUCACGCGUAAACGAUGAGUGCUAAGUGUUAGGGGGUUCCGCCCUUUAGUGCUGCAGCUAACGCAUUAAGCACUCCGCUGGGGAGUACGACCGCAAGGUUGAAACUCAAAGGAAUUGACGGGGGCCCGCACAAGCGGUGGAGCAUGUGGUUUAAUUCGAAGCAACGCGAAGAACCUUACCAGGUCUUGACAUCCUUUGAUCACUCUAGAGAUAGAGCUUUCCCUUCGGGGACAAAGUGACAGGUGGUGCAUGGUUGUCGUCAGCUCGUGUCGUGAGAUGUUGGGUUAAGUCCCGCAACGAGCGCAACCCUUAUUGUUAGUUGCCAUCAUUCAGUUGGGCACUCUAGCGAAACUGCCGGUGACAAACCGGAGGAAGGUGGGGAUGACGUCAAAUCAUCAUGCCCCUUAUGACCUGGGCUACACACGUGCUACAAUGGACAGUACAAUGAGCAGCGACACGGCGACGUGAAGCGAAUCUCAUAAAGCUGUUCUCAGUUCGGAUUGUAGGCUGCAACUCGCCUACAUGAAGCCGGAAUCGCUAGUAAUCGCGGAUCAGCACGCCGCGGUGAAUACGUUCCCGGGCCUUGUACACACCGCCCGUCACACCACGAAAGUUUGUAACACCCAAAGUCGGUGAGGUAACCUUCGGGAGCCAGCCGCCUAAGGUGGGAUAGAUGAUUGGGGUGAAGUCGUAACAAGGUAACCA
rnacentral:rRNA from 1 species